rnacentral:rRNA from 1 species
CCCAAUGAUGAAAAUUUAAUGGCCGCGGUAUAUUGACCGUGCGAAGGUAGCAUAAUAAUUUGUCUUUUAAUUGAGGACUAGUAUAAAUGGUCGAACAAAAAGUUAGCUGUCUCUGAGUCAUAUCUUGAAUUUAACAUUUAAGUGAAAAGGCUUAAAUAAUUUAAGGGGACGAUAAGACCCUAUAAAUCUUUAUAUUAAUUUAUUGUUAAGCUGGGGAAUAGAAUUAAUUCAUGGGAUAACAAUUCUAAAUAUUUUGUUGGGGAGACAGAAGUAUAAAAGAAUAACUACUUUAAAUAAAGAGUUAAUGAUAUUUAAUGUANANACCCUUUCUUAAGGGUUAUAGAACAAGUUACUUUAGGGAUAACAGCGUAAUUUCUUUUGANANUCC